UUUACAGCAACCAUUGUAUUAGUGACUUUAAGCUACUCUUUUUCUUAAAAUACUUAAAAGAGGAUUUUUGAUUCUGGCCAAGUGAGCCUACCUUCACAACUUUUUAAAAAGAUUUAUUUCAUCUUGCUGUAGUUUUCUAGUAAUAGAGCUGCUCCCAUAGAUGAUUGUUUUUUAAGUUUCUGAUUUUGUCACCAAUGUGAAAGGAAGGAACAUAGUAAAUAGAUGCAGUGCUGACAGUGCUGUAGGACUGGAGCAUUGUUUUGUAUAAUAUCAUUUCUUUUUUCAGAUGCCGCAGUAUCAGCAGGCUUUCUUUCAACAGCAGAUGCUAGCUCAACAUCAGCUGUCUCAACAACAGGCAUCACCUGAAUAUCUUACCUCCCCUCAAGAGUUCUCACCAGCCUUAGUUUCCUACACUUCAUCACUUCCAGCUCAGGUUGGAACCAUAAUGGACUCCUCCUAUAGUGCCAAUAGGUCAGUUGCUGAUAAAGAGGCCAUUGCAAAUUUCACAAAUCAGAAGAACAUCAGCAAUCCACCUGAUAUGUCAGGGUGGAAUCCUUUUGGAGAGGAUAAUUUCUCUAAGUUAACAGAAGAGGAACUAUUGGACAGAGAAUUUGACCUUCUAAGAUCAAGUAAGGGACACUUGAAGGCUUAUUUUGCUUCACAGUAAAAUAACAGCUCUAUUAUUAUUCAGCAAGGCCAAAGACUUUUGAGAAUGUGUAUGGAAAAUUCUUUUUGUGCAUUUGAGGGCAAAAUUCAGGCCAUCUUCUUAUACAUAUACUAUCAAAUUAUGUUGUGUGCAUUAGAAAUCAGUUGCUUGAUAGUAGCUAUUAAACCCAAUAUUGCUGAUAGUAUGCUAAUAUCCUAAAACUUAAAUAUUGCAUAUCUAUGAAUGUUAAAUCCAGAAUAUCUCUAAAACAUGGAAAAUUGAUGUUUCAAUAAAAAGGGAGACAUUUUAUUAUUUUGCCUUACUAAUGAUUUUGCAGCUCUGUUUUUCUGCACACUCAAUAGAAAAUAUUGUGGGUCUGAGAUGCCCUUUGAAAAUGCCUGAAAGAAAACAUGGGCCACUACAUUAUGUUAAUGUUUUGUAAUGCCCUUUUAAUGAGUGGUGACAUAAAAGGGCUGCUUUGUUGUCCUGAUAUGGCAAAAAUUAAAUAAAUUCUUUUCACUUU
rnacentral:sRNA from 1 species